rnacentral:pre_miRNA from 2 species
UUCUUUGGUUACCUAGCUUUGCGGAGUAAUAUUCAGUCUUCAUAAAGCUAGGUCAGCAAAGCA